GGAAGGAAAGUUAAAUCCAACCUCUCUGGCAGGCACUUGGUACCUUGCUCCAUGUGGCCCUGGUCUGUCCUUACCCCUUGGCAUCUACGCUUUGCUGCAGGAAUCUGUGUGGAGUGUGCCCUCCCCCACCCCCAACCUCGUACCACAUGUGUAAAAAUCAUUUCCCAAAUUUUUAUUCCACCAGUUCCUCCUCGGCUCCAACUUUCUAAAUUCUGAUCAUCUGUUAGGGCCUAAUUCAAAUUCUGUCUUGAAGAACAAGCCUCUGCCUUCUCCAGACAUCCCUUUAUCUAAAUAAUUACGGCACUUCUAAUCUAAUUUGUAUAAUGUAAUCACGUGCUUCCUGCUUGGCUCAGCUCUAGGGUUUUAUGUUCCUAGUUACUGUACCCAAUUUAACUAUGUCAAUUCUCCUCCUUGAUGACCAGUGAUUACCUUAAUGAAAUUUUACAUUCCAUAACUUCACAUUUGCUUGCUAUUGUUAAAAUGUUACCUCGUAUCCAUUCAGAGUUUUCCCCUUCCUGCUACAGGCCACAUCUACAGCCCUAGGUCAUAGUUAGAGAGCAUGUGUAGCUUGCUAUUUAUUCCUCCUAUUUUCUCCUUUUGGAGACCAUAAGAAGAGUUUACCGGGCUAUCAGGAUGGCUCCGUAGUCAAGGAUGCACUCCAAAGAAAGGCCAAUGUCCAAUCCCUGGAACUCAUAUGGUAGAAAGAACUGACUCUUGCAAAUUCUCCUCUGACUUCCACACACAUGCCAUGGCACAAGUAUGCCAAUACCCACACAUAUAUAAUAAAUAUUUAAAAUUGUAAAGAAAGGUUAAUCUUUUUAUAUAUAAUUUAUUUUUAUUUUAUAUUCACUCCUUUUUGCCAGCAUUUAUGUCUCUGUGGAUGUCAGAAGCCCUGGAACUGGAGUUACAGACACUUGUGACCUGCCAAGUGGGUACUAGGAAUUGAACCUGGGUCCUGUGAAAGAGCAGCCAGUGCUCAUAACUGCAGAGUCAUCUCUCCAGCCCCAGAAGGGCUUAUCUUAAUUGCUUUAGUCCCCAUCUAUUGGGCUGUAGCUUCUCUAGUGGC
rnacentral:lncRNA from 1 species